AAGCAAGAAAGGGCGCAGGGCGGAUGCCUUGGCACUAAGAGCCGAUGAAAGACGCGACAAGCUGCGAAAAGCUGCGGGGAGGGGCAAAUGCCCGGUGAUCCGCAGGUGUCUGAAUGGGGAAACCCGCAUGGGAAGAAUCCCAUGCAUCCAUGCGCGAAUCCAUAACGCAUGGAGGGGAACCCGGCGAACUGAAACAUCUAAGUAGCCGGAGGAAGAGAAAGAAACAUCGAUUCCGGGAGUAGCGGCGAGCGAAACCGGAAGAGCCCAAACCACGGCGCGAGCGCCGUGGGGUUCGGACCGCAAAAGCACAUGCACACGAGAAGCAGAACGGUUUUGGGAAAGCCGGCCGCAGAGGGUGAAAGCCCCGUAAGCGGAAGGGUGUGCAUGGGCGGCGGGAUCCAGAGUACAUCGGGACACGUGAAACCCUGAUGGAAGGCGCGGGGACCACCCCGCAAGGCUAAAUACUACUUAGUGACCGAUAGAGCAAAGUACUGUGAAGGAAAGGUGAAAAGGACCCCGGGAGGGGAGUGAAAGAGAACCUGAAACCCUGCGUCUACAAGCUGUGGGAGCGCAGGAAUGCGCGACCGCGUACUUUUUGUAGAACGGUCCGGCGAGCUGCGCGUGCCGGCAAGGUUAAGGGCUUAAGGCCCGGAGCCGGAGGGAAACCGAGUCUGAACAGGGCGUUCAGUCGGCAGGCGCAGGCCCGAAACCGGGUGACCUAUCCAUGUCCAGGUUGAAGAUGCCGUAAAAGGCAUUGGAGGACCGAACCCACAUCCGUUGAAAAGGGUGGGGAUGAGGUGUGGAUAGGGGAGAAAUUCCAAUCGAACCCGGAGAUAGCUGGUUCUCCCCGAAAUAGCUUUAGGGCUAGCCUCAGGCAAGUCCCAUGGAGGUAGAGCACUGAAUUCCCGCGGGGGCGUCAAAGCUUACCAAAGGAUAUCAAACUCCGAAUGCCAUAGGGAUGGUGCCUGGGAGUCAGGCUGCACGAGAUAAGUUGGGCAGCCAAGAGGGAAAGAGCCCAGACCGCCGGCUAAGGCCCCCAAGUGCGUGUUAAGUGGGAAAGGAUGUGGGGAUUCGAAGACAGCUAGGAUGUUGGCUCAGAAGCAGCCAUGCAUUCAAAGAGUGCGUAACAGCUCACUAGUCGAGAGUCCCUGCGCCGAAAAUGUCCGGGGCUCAAACACGCCGCCGAAGCCGCGGGAUGCAUGCAUAAGCAUGGAUCGGUAGGGGAGCAUUCUUACAACCGGAGAAGCCGCCUUGGAAGGGGCGGUGGAGGGAUAAGAAGGGAGAAUGCCGGAAUGAGUAGCGAGAGGGGGGUGGGAAUCCCCCCGGCCGAAUAUCCAAGGAUUCCAGGGUAAAGCUGAUCUGCCCUGGGGGAGUCGGGGCCUAAGGCGAGGCGGAGACGCGUAGCCGAUGGACAACAGGUUUAGAUUCCUGUACCGUGUAUGGACAGAACUGCGGGGACGCGGAGAGGAACUGCGAGCCGGGAAUGGAAAGACCGGCACAAGCGCUUAAGGGGGCAUGUUGGAAAAGCCGCAUGCAGAAACCAAGGGCGUGACGUGGAGCGAAAUAAAAGUAGCGAAGCGCAGGGAGGAGCCGCCGAGAAAAGCCGCUAUGGCUCCAUAUGCGCCCGUACCGUAAACCGACACAGGUGGAUGAGGAGAGAAUCCUAAGGCCGACGGAAGAAGCAUUGCCAAGGAACUCGGCAAAAUGGCCCCGUAACUUCGGGAGAAGGGGCGCCAGGGAGGCCUGGCCGCAGAGAAUAGGCCCAAGCAACUGUUUAGCAAAAACACAGGUCUAUGCGAAACCGCAAGGUGAAGUAUAUGGGCUGACGCCUGCCCGGUGCUGGAAGGUUAAGGGGAGAGGUUAGCGAAAGCGAAGCUUUGAACCCAAGCCCCAGUAAACGGCGGCCGUAACUAUAACGGUCCUAAGGUAGCGAAAUUCCUUGUCGGGUAAGUUCCGACCCGCACGAAAGGCGUAAUGAUUUGGGCGCUGUCUCGGCAAUGCAUCCGGUGAAAUUGAAGUGCCAGUGAAGAUGCUGGCUACCCGCGCCAGGACGGAAAGACCCCAUGGAGCUUUACUCCAGCUUGGCACUGGGGCCCGGUGCUGCACGUACAGGAUAGGUGGGAGGCGAAGAAAGGAGGGCGCAAGCCCUCCGGGAGCCGUCGUUGGGAUACCACCCCUGCAGUACUGGGUCUCUAACCCGCCGCCGUAAGCCGGCGGGGGGACAAUGCCAGGCGGGGGGUUUGACUGGGGCGGUCGCCUCCGAAAGGGUAUCGGAGGCGCCCAAAGGUUCCCUCAGAAUGGACGGAAACCAUUUGAAGAGUGCAAAGGCAGAAGGGAGCCUGACUGCGACGCCGACGGGCGGAGCAGGUACGAAAGUAGGGCUUAGUGAUCCGGUGGCAGAACGUGGGAUUGCCAUCGCUCAACGGAUAAAAGCUACCCUGGGGAUAACAGGCUUAUCACUCCCAAGAGUCCACAUCGACGGAGUGGUUUGGCACCUCGAUGUCGGCUCAUCGCAUCCUGGGGCUGGAGCAGGUCCCAAGGGUUGGGCUGUUCGCCCAUUAAAGCGGUACGCGAGCUGGGUUCAGAACGUCGUGAGACAGUUCGGUCCCUAUCCGGCGCGGGCGGAGGAUGCUUGAGGGGGUCUGGCCUUAGUACGAGAGGACCGGGCUGGACGGGCCGCUGGUGUACCUGUUGCCUUAGCCAAAGGCAUGGCAGGGUAGCCAAGCCCGGAAGGGAUAAGCGCUGAAGGCAUCUAAGCGCGAAGCCCUCCCCAAGAUGAGGCAUCCCAGCCGAGAGGCGUAAGACCCCUUGGAGACGACAAGGUGGAUAGGGCGGGGGUGGAAGUGCAGCAAUGCAUGGAGCUGACCGCCACUAAUCGGUCGAGGGCUUG
rnacentral:rRNA from 1 species